rnacentral:tRNA from 1 species
GUUACCGUACUUUAAUAAAAAGAACCAGCUUGCAACUGGAAAAUGGAGAAAUUGAUACCUCCCGGCGACA